ACGGCGAGUGAAGUGCAGAAAGCUCAACUUUGAAAUCUGGCUGCUUCGCAGUCCGAGUUGUAGUCUCGAGAAGUGUUUUCCGCGUUAAACCGUGUAUGAGUCUGUUGGAACACAGCGUCAUAGAGGGUGAGAACCCCUUUCAUGGCACGGCUUUUAAUGCUUUGUGAUACACUUUCGAUGAGUCGAGUUGUUUGGGAAUGCAGCUCAUAAUGGUUGGUAAAUUCCAUCUAAAGCUAAAUAUUGGCGAGAGACCGAUAGCCAACAAGUACCGCGAGGGAAAGAUGAAAAGCACUUUGGAAAGAGAGUUAAAAGUACGUGAAAUUGUUGAAAGGGAAACGCUUGAAGUCAGACGUGCGCGGUAUUCAUUACCGUUGCAGG
rnacentral:rRNA from 1 species